rnacentral:rRNA from 1 species
UUAGCGGCGGACGGGUGAGUAACACGUGGGUAACCUGCCUUACACUGGGGGAUAACAGUUAGAAAUGACUGCUAAUACCGCAUAAGCGCACAGGGCUGCAUGGCCUGGUGUGAAAAACUCCGGUGGUGUAAGAUGGACCCGCGUCUGAUUAGGUAGUUGGUGGGGUAACGGCCCACCAAGCCGACGAUCAGUAGCCGACCUGAGAGGGUGACCGGCCACAUUGGGACUGAGACACGGCCCAA